rnacentral:rRNA from 1 species
UACGUAGGGGGGCAAGCGUUGUCCGGAUUUAUUGGGCGUAAAGAGCGUGUAGGCGGCCUGGUAGGUCAGCUGUGAAAACUCGAGGCUCAACCUCGAGACGCCGGUUGAAACCAUCAGGCUAGAGUCCGGAAGAGGAGAGUGGAAUUCCCGGUGUAGCGGUGAAAUGCGCAGAUAUCGGGGAAGAACACCCGUGGCUAAGGCGGCUCUCUAGUACGGUACUGACGCUGAGACGCGAAAAAGCGUGGGGGGAGCGAAACAGGG